rnacentral:lncRNA from 13 species
GAAAAGCAGAUGGGGACGUUUCCGACACCCUCUCAUCUUCCCUCAAUCUACAAGUGAGAGACUUCACUUCAGACACGUCAUUGCUGGAUGAGGAGACUAAAACGGAAUCGGGAUCUCUUCACAAUAACUUCAAAAUAAGAAUAAAGUAACAAAACAAAAGAGGCACGACAUCCAGUGCGUAACGUUUAGGAAAACUCGUAAACUACUCUUAUUGUUGUUGAUUUAGAGCUUGUGAGAAGAUAAACGAGUUGAAUUGAUUCUAUCGGACGGUAUUUGCACCUUCUCUGGAUGUGGUCGCACGGUUUUUCACGUGAAAGUAGAGUGAAUUUCGAAAGGACUUCAUUUAAUGUUAAUUACACAAUGCUGGCGGUACUGGGGCUGCAUCCGGAACACACGCGAAGAGAGGAGGAGAGCAGAGAGGCGUGCGCUUCUGGUGUAUAGAUGGGGGGAAGGAGAAUAAGUAGAGCCUACUAUUUCCAUGUAAAUAAUGGCUUACCAUUGAGCUUUCUUUGAGGAUUUAACGGCAUCUGCAAAAAAAAAACGUUUGUUUGAAAAAAGUUGACAGCUCAUCAUCCAUGGAGGUUCAUUGCAAUUUUGGAGACUUGAUGUGUGACAAAAACGGACCGCACAAACGGAUUGAGCUCCGGGAUUACGGUUAUGUGUUGCUCCACAGUAAAAUGUAGCCUGACAUGUUUUAUUGGUGCUUAUGGAAACUUGAAUGCACAUUUUUCAUAAAACAAAGGCAGAAGCCACGUUUCAUGUGUAAAGACACAGACAAUGUAUUUAUUUUGUUGUUAUGAUGCGAAUGCAUUUCUAUUCAACAAUGUUUUGGGAGGAGUCGUGAUUAUGUCUACAUUUCUAUCACAGUCCAAAUCGUCAUGCGACACUAUUCUGCAAGAUGAUCGUUGUGAUGAGCAUGGUGACCCAACCUCCAAAUGAGCUUGUCCCCAGGCAAGAGGCCAAGGCUACAUUUUCCAUCUAAUUGUCCUGACUUCAGGUGAUUGGAAUUAUGGGGUGAUUUCCAU